UGCAAGAAUUCGUGUUCCUCGUUGCCUGCCACCAUGAAUCCCUGGCAUAGUGAUGGAUAAGAAGUCAGAGAGUGAGCUGCAUGAGGAUUUACUGUGUUUGUGGGGGAAGUGACGUGGAUUUUGGGGUGGACAGGAUGGCGAGUGGUGGAGGAGGGAACCCGCAGCUGUUUAGUCCACGGCCUGCCUGAUGACCUGCCUGGCCUGCCCCGCGUGUCCCAAGAUCAAGUGGUGCAGUGAUGGUCCCUCGUCCUGCUUCUGUGCUAAACUACACGCCCACAACAUCCCUCCUGCUUGUAUUGGAAGACCUGAACAUCGACGGCCAAGGACUACAGUAUUACAAGAAGUCAAGAGGUGAACUGAAGAGGAAAAGUGAAGCUGGUGGUGGAAGAGGAGGAAACCGAUGAAGGCUGGACAGGCAGCAUCAGGUGGUGGUGCUCCCCUACCCUGGCCUCCACUCCCCUGCCUCAGCACCCCACGAAGGCACGGCAAGGCUGGUCCACUGGAGUGCCUUGCCUUGUGAUAGCAGCGCCACCACAGGACUCCUCUGGGCAGACCCUGUGGUGGCGCUGAGGACACGAGACAUGCACCUCAGCGGCCAGCCUUGUGUUUCCUUGGUGGGGGACCGAGAGAGAGGAGAUGGAGGCCAGUGUUUGAAGGGGACACCAUACCUGCUGCCUUGGGAAUCUGGAGGUGGAAAUGAAGAAGAGGAACAGCAGCCCAGAAGAGAGAAAGACAUCGACAGAAGACCUCAUUACACCAUUUAUCAUCACAGGGGGUAUAAUGAAAUAUUGGUGAGGGUGUAGCAGCAAGCACGGGCAAGGUCUUUAGGGCAUCAGUACUGGGCUUGGCAGAAGAGGCAGUGCAGGACCUUUUCUUCAGUCUCGUUCCGUCUUGGCAGCGGCUUAAAAGAGAGGAAGGAUUGUUGCACCUCUUCUUAUUCCAUCUUCGUAACUGCUGCCUGAAGAGGAUGGAUAUUGUUUGUACUUCUUGUAAUGCCGUUCCUUCACCUUCGGAGCCCAAUAAACCUGCGGAAAAGUGAA